rnacentral:snRNA from 1 species
GUGCUUAUUUAGGCAGGUAGUAUAUAUAUUAAAAUUGGAAAGAUACGGAGAUUAAAUAGUAUAGCCCUUGUACAACAAGGAUGGCAUGCAAAUUCAUGAAGUGUUCCAUUUUUUA